GAUGAAGAACGUAGCGAAAUGCGAUACGUAAUGUGAAUUGCAGAAUCCAGUGAAUCAUCGAAUCUUUGAACGCACAUUGCGCCCGCCAGCAUUCUGGCGGGCAUGCCUGUUCGAGCGUCAUUUCAACCCUCGACCUCCCCUUGGGGAGGUCGGCGUUGGGGACCGGCAGCACACCGCCGGCCCUGAAAUGGAGUGGCGGCCCGUCCGCGGCGACCUCUGCGCAGUAAUACAGCUCGCACCGGGACCCCGACGCGGCCACGCCGUAAAACACCCAACUUCUGAACGUUGACCUCGAAUCAGGUAGGGCUACCCGCUGAACUUAAGCAUAUCAAUAAGCGGAGGA
rnacentral:misc_RNA from 1 species